GAUGAACGCUGACAGAAUGCUUAACACAUGCAAGUCAACUGUGGCGGACGGGUGAGUAACGCGUAAAGAACUUUCCUCACAGCUAGGGACAACAUUUGGAAACGAAUGCUAAUACCUGAUACUGUGAGAGAGCUUUGCGUCCCAUUAGCUAGUUGGAGAGGUAACCGCUCACCAAGGCGAUGAUGGGUAGCCGGCCUGCGAGGGUGAUCGGCCACAAGGGGAUUGGGACACGGCCCUUACUCAUACGGGAGGCAGCGGUGGGGAAUAGUGGACAAUGGACCAAAGUCUGAUCCAGCAAUUCGGUGUGCACGAUGAAGUUUUCGGGAUGUAAAGGGCUUUCAGUUGCGAAGCGGUACCAACAGAAGAAGCGACGGCUAAAUACGUGCCAGCAGCCGCGGUAAUUC
rnacentral:rRNA from 1 species